GUAUUUAGCUCUACUCAGGAGUACGCAGAGAUUUCUAGGGUUUUUUUGAAUCCUCGUUCAACAUUUUUAUUAUUCAAAACAAUUCUGACUUCUUUUGCUUUUUUUUGGACCUAGAAAUGAUUCAGAGAUGCCACUGAUUUUCUUCAAUGGAAAUGAUUUUCAAUCAAAAUGGAAGAGAUUUCCCAGAAAAUGCAGUGUCGGAAGUGAUUUAAAAAGCAGAAGUUAAAUUUGCUCCUGGGUCAGCUUCAGGUUUUAUAUAUGAUGAAGGAACUUUGAAAUUAAAGUGAUUGCAAAUAUGCUUUAGAGGCAAAAGUAGAAGCAAAAGAGAAAGGACAGAAAACUGUAAAAGAUAAAAUUAGACAACAUGAUGAAAAAACACCCUAACAACAGGGCAAGAUCUGAAACCAGAUACUGACUUCAGAGUCCUGCAGGCAAUUCCACUUUUUCACUUCUUUUUCACUUCUAAUGUUUAUGAUGUCUGCAAGGAUUCAAAUUUAAGCAAAAUAUCCUUCCCUCAUCAGAAAUUAGCUUUUAAAUUCUUCUUUUCUGCAUGCUAAAAGCUUCCUGCAAAGUUGACACUGAUAUGUUUUACUGCUAUCAACUGAAUAUAUUCUCUUUCACUUAUGUCCCAAACUUCUCUCACAUUCUAAGUUUUCUUUCUUUUUUUUUUGAUUAGACAUUGAGUAGUAAGAUAAUAUUUUGUUUACGUUAAUAAACUAAGGUUAGAAAGAAAGACUAGAAUACCCAUUCUGUCUCUGAGCUUAUCAGGUGAAUUCCAGAGGCUUUCUCAGAUCCCCUUUUGCUCCUUAUAACUAUAACCUCAUAAUAUUUCAGUGACUUAAAAUCUGUAGUAAGAAAAAAAUGAACAGAGCUCUCUAGGGCUAAGGUUUGUGUUGAGCAGUGAUGGAAAUCCAAGGGAAGUUCAUGAAGCAUAGACUUUCCCGUUUGAAAACAAGCCAGGGAAAGAGAAUCAAGAGCACUUCUGAAUUCAAUUCUCUCACCUGAGUGAACAGACAGCUGCUGCCAUACCAUGCUGAACUGGCAAGAGCUUCCUUAAUUACUCAGCCCUUCCAGAAGGCAACACUUCAGUGGUGAUGAAGAGGCACAUUUUCUAAAGCUCCAGUGGGAAUUGUUUUCAGCUCCUCAGAAGAUUUACAGGAAGUGAUUUGCCAACACUGGACUAUAUAUAAGAAACAUUUUUCUGCCUGAAUGCAUGUUGAACCAUUAAGAAGUCAACUUUCUCCAAAUUCAUCUCACUGUUACUACAAAUAUCUCCUUUCACAAGUGUAUGCAGUACAUCAAAUAAUGUAUACUUUUAGUCCACUUGCAGAUUUCUGUUUGACAAUUUUUAAUCCUACAAACAGUAGGUUGAUUUUCCUUGGUUAUCUUUCAUAGAAUUGGCCUGAAGAUUCUUAAGUUCCCGUAGGUCACAAACUGGAUAAAAUACAAAAUAAAUCAGAAAACCUUCUCCAUUCCUUACAAUAUGCAGUUUAAAAGGAUGACUUUAUGCAUAUUUUGACAGUUUUGUGUGCACAAAUAAGUCAGUCUUCGAUACAAUUAAGAAAACUUCUUAAUUUUACUGUUAAUGUGAAGUAUAAUAAAACACCAUCCCUUCUCAUUUCACUCAGGAGGCAUCUACAACAAAAUCUCAGUGUCUGUUUAUGUCUGCUAGAGGGCAUUUUUUUCAAAUGUUCUCAGUGCUCCGCCGUUUUGUAUUUAGGGAUGAUAACUACUUUUUGCAUGUAUAUAUAUAUAUAUAUAUAUAUAUAUAUUUAAUGAGAUGGCGAUAAAACAUCUUAUAAAUAUUAGUCAAAAGAAAAAAAAAGUCUGAGUAAGGAGACUGACUGAUUUUCCUCAUUUUUCAGGAUUUCUGUGUGCGAGAGGAAGUUCUGAAAUACAUAAUUCUCCUAGAUAUCAAAGACAUACUUUCUUAUCUAUAGUGCUAUGCCCUAGUAUAUGCUAAUUUGCUUAAUGAGCACACCAUUAUUUUUAUCUUACUAAGCCACUGAAAAAAAAGAAAACUGUUUACCCUUUUAGAAAUAUAUAUUUUUAAUUUUUUUUUGUAAACCAAGAAUUUCUUCUAACUCACUUUUAGUAAAACAUUUAGGAAAAUUCAUAUGGUUCCUUAAAUCAGUGAAUGAUGUUUUUGCUAAACUUUUGUUUAUUUGUAUAACUGAUUUCCAUUCAUUCCUUAGAUACCAGACAUUCAAAAUUCUCAGUCAUUUUAUCAAGUAAAUUUUCUAUCAAAUUUGACAACCUGUUUCAUUCCUUUGCACAUUUGAACUGUUAGAUGAAGUCAGUUAUUAAAGAAAAACUCUAAUGUAGGCAAAAUUUGUAUAAGCAAGAAUUAAAAUAUUUUACCAGUACUUCUUAAUAACAUAUUUAACCAAGAGGAAAAGAAGAUGACUAAUUCAGCCUGCAUGGCUUGUAUUUGUCAAGUUCAGCAGUGUUUCACAGUUUUACUUCAAUUUCUUCUUUCAGUUGCAUAGAUACUGCUCAGUAGAUAAGAAUGUGGUCAUGGUGAAAUCACACCUAUUCUCAUCUUUUCUUUUGCUCUCCAACGUGGAGAGGUUACUCGAGUCUUUUUUUUCCAUCGACUGAAGACUAUAAAUCCCAGUCACUUGCGUGCUCCAAAAAUUAAUCCCACUCUUCAUUUAUUUUCAUUCCUUCUCUUUAUACAUUCUCUUCAUGGUCUUGAUUUACGUUAUGUUCAGUUUUUAUGCUGCAGCAACACCAAUAAAUCAAUGCUUCAUUUCUAUUCAGAUUUUCCUCUUUGUUCUCACAAGAAGGAUAAGAUAUUGUAACUGCUCAUCACCUAACUAAAUAUCUUAGAAUAAAAAUGUUUG
ensembl:lncRNA